GACGAACGCUGGCGGCGUGCCUAAUACAUGCAAGUCGAACGCAGUGGGGACGGGUGAGUAACACGUGGGUAACCUCCCAUCAGAGGGGAUAACACUUGGAAACAGGUGCUAAACCGAUACUGAUGGAUGGACCCGCGGUGCAUUAGCUAGUUGGUGAGGUAACGGCUCACCAAGGCCAGGAUGCAUAGACGACCUGGUAGGGUGAUCGGCCACACUGUGACUGCGACACGGCCCAGACUCGUACUGACGGCAGCAGGAGGGACUCUGCGGCAAUGGACGAAAGUCUGACCUAGCAACGCCGCGUGAGUGAAGAAGUUUUUCGGAUCGUAAAACUCUGUGGUUAGAGAAGCGGUAUCUAACCAGAAAGCCACGGCUAACUACGUGCCAGCCGCCGCGGUAAUAC
rnacentral:rRNA from 1 species